GGCAAUAAAAAGUGACAUGAAGUAACAUUUCAGUGAAGAAUUGUAUGCAGCGGAGCCAAAUCCUGUCAUUUAAGGCUUUCUGUGAGGUGUGAUUUAUUCUCAUUUGCAAGCUUGGAGAGAGAGAAUGUUUGAGUGUUGGGAAUUAUGCUUAUACUUCUUAAGCUUUGCUACUGACUGCAGGUGUCUGCGCCUUCAGGUUCCCAACUUGGCAUUCCAGAGAGGCUUGAUUCUUGGCACAUGCACAGUCAGCUUGUUUAGAAAAGCUGGACCCCAAGUAGGAAGGAUCUCAAGUGGAACACCACAAAUCACUGGGUUUGAAGAUGAGAGCUAGGACAGACUGCCAUUUUAAACUCAGUUAUGUCAAACAUCUAACAACGUAGCCCACAGUACGAAUCUUCUGAAAUGUGGAGGGUGUGACAGCAGAUCUCUGAUCCAUCACUGAAUUAUUUGAUAAACUUCAAUCAACAGAUGCAAGCAAGAUUCAUAAGAAGUUCCUUUGUAGGAAAGCCCAAACUCACCAAUAGUAAAUGAAAGCCUUCUGUGAAUAAAAUCCUGGAGAAAACUGUACUGCAACUAAAUUACAUGCUGGAUGAGCUUUGGCAAUGAAUCUCACAAAGUUCAUGAAAUUAUGACACACAGCUUCAAAAGGAACCAUGAAAAGUGAAGAAAGACCUGGUACUAAUUCACGCCACACUGUGCUACACAGUGCUCCUGGCUGCAUCGCACCUGUUGAUGUUUAUGUGCCAAGGUACAUUACGCCAACUGCAAUGGCAAGGAAGGUACGGCAGCAACUAAGCCUGCAAACAGGACAGCUGCAUCUCAGGGACAACUGCUCUCCAGCACUGGGCCAGGAACCUGCUUCGACUGCUGGAGCAAAAGUAGAGGUGUGUAUGAGCAGUUUGCAUCUAAAAGAGUUAUCAGGGAAUUGCCAAAAACAAACAAACAAAAAAAAAAGAUAUGUGAUGGUUCAUGUAGUGCAAAAUUAGGAGGACUCAAAUGCUUCUUCUAGAGCACCUCCACCACUGUGUGCUUCUCUUUUCUUAUAUACAAGGAGUUCCUGUAGCAGCCUGCAGUCUUGGUUUAUCUGGGCAGCCAGUGUUCUGCAGGAAUGGCAGAAUAAGCUCCUUACAGAGACAAGCUUUCAGAUCCUGUAGGAUCUCAAAUAACUCUUCAGGAGCUGCUGUUCUCACUCAUUGCUUCUGGUAAAGCAGAUAAGAAAGGCAUCCAGUGAAAUGAUCAGGCAGCUUAUUUGAAACAAGUGAACCUGUUUUAAAUAGACCCAAAUGAGAUAAGAGCCUUGAUAAUGAAGUUAUUGCUGCUUACCUUUUGCUGAAUUUAAAGUCCCCUGCAUUAACAGGAGCUCAGGGAACAUCUUCCCUGCCUGUGACAUCCCAGACAUUCAUCUGAGGUUUUUUGGAGCAUCAGUACCAAACUUCUACAGCAAGCUCAGAUAGUCAGCUCCAGCCAGGUAGUUUUCUCCCACAGGUAAUUCCAGGCCCUCCUGCUGCAGUUUAAAAUGGUGUAUCUUUGUUUAGUGUCCUGAUUAGUGAAUACCUACUGUACUAAAUGCAUGAUGGCUGUAGCUGUAUCCAGGAGCUUUAAGAAGCUGUACUUCCAUUAUGAACCCACUGUAAAUCCUACCUCAAAGCUUUUUUUUGUUUGUUUGUUCUUUGUCAUUUCACUUUCAGACCAUUUCCCCCCAGAAUGGUAAACAGGGAGUUCUGUGAGCACUGUCACGAAUGAAGCCUGCAUUUCAAUAGGUUAAAAUCCCAUUGGUUGGAUUUUUUGGUCUCUGAGAUUUCACCACACUUAGGGUUGACCUCCCCUGCUUCUACCCACCUUCUCAAAUACAGAUCAGGUGGGUCAGUAGAAGGUACUAGGAACAUAUAAACAUGCUGAGUAUAAGAAGCCAGA
ensembl:lncRNA